rnacentral:rRNA from 1 species
GACGAACCGUGCGAACGUUAUUCGGAAUCAUUGGGCUUAAAGGGCGCGUAGGCGGCGGCGUAAGUUGGAAGUGAAAUCCCAUCGGCUCAACCGUGGAAUUGCUCCCAGUACUGCGUCGCUCGAGGGGGAUAGGGGUCUGCGGAACUACCGGUGGAGCGGUGAAAUGUGUUGAUAUCGGUGGGAACGCCAGUGGCGAAAGCGGCAGACUGGACCCUUCCUGACGCUGAGGCGCGAAAGCUAGGGGAGCAAACGGG